rnacentral:tRNA from 1 species
CAAGAAGUAGUUUAAAAAAAAACAUUAAUUUUGGAAAUUAAAAAUAUAGUUAUUAUUUUUUUGA